AGCGGAGGGGGCUGAGAUGGGUCGGCAGACACCGCUGAGAGCGAGGGUUUGCCCGCGGAUCUAAGGAACACACCGGGUAUCCUCCCCCCGCCCUCGGCUCAGUGAAGGGUCGAGGCGAAAGCAGAUUAAAACCAUAUGAACCGGGAUAAAUCCCUGCCGAUCAGAAGAUGUAAUCUCCUGUGAUUCCACCAGAUAUAUUUCUCAAUAGAAACAUAUCCCGAUUUAUUCCCUCCUCGCAUAUUUUUUCCCUUGCGGUUGAGGAAAGGAGCUGCUCCAGCGGCCGCGGACCCUUGGCCAUCGGGAUCCGCUGUGCCUUUCUCGGUCGAGGGAGGGGGAGAAUAGCGAAGCAACAGAAGUUUUAACCAUCUUCCCAUGGCAUCUGACUUUUUUGAAGAGGAGGACUUUUCAACCACUUGAUGGAAGGGAAAUAAGAAGUUUGUUUCAAGACUCUUAUGUUGUUCAUCAGUGCUGUUAACAAACGUGGGGCUUGAGGAUACAUUUGCUGCUUCUCUGCAUUUUUGCUGAAGAUAUGUGCAUUUGAAGGAAGGACCUUGCUGUCUCCCAGCUCCUGUGGGCAUUAGGUUUCAUGAAUGUCUUGGGAUGAGGACAGCUCUGUAGAGCCUGAGUUUCAAAAGUAAUUUUAAAGAUUGCACCCAAGAGAGAAGCAGUGAGAUGCACAGUGGGGAGAAUGAACCCAGCAGUCCAUCCUGUCCUGUACCUCCCUGAAUAUGGGAAGAGACCUAGUACAAAGCCAGAAUGCAGCUGGGCUUGCACUCUUUUUAACCAUAUUAAGUCCUGUUGAGAGUUAAUGAUGAGCUCAGUUAGAUGGUGUCAGCAGUGCUGAAGAAGGGAAGGACAGAAUUGGAAGACAGGAGCUAUUUCAAAGCAGGAUUCUUCAUCUUUCUGUAAUUCCCAAACAUGAAGACUUUAUAAACUUCAUUAGAUCCUGCUAUCAAUGACUGAGCCUCCCUGAAAUCUUCUUAUCAGUUACUGCCAAGAUGAGAAGGAUAACAGGAAGGAGGAGUGCUUAAGUGGAUUAAUGACAGUUAAUUUCUUCUAUUUAUCAAAUGACAGGUUGUUUUUUCCUCAAAACUUGAUUGUCAUGACAAGAUGCUUUUGGAAGUCAUUUUUGUAAAAUAAAACUGACAAUUUUUAGGCUACAAGGAGCUAUUGUAUCUUUCUAUUGGAUGUUGUUAUUAUGGAAAAAUGCUGGAAAGUCUUUAUUUUUGAUGUGAUUUAACUUGCAUACUUCAUUCAUUUAUUUUAGUAUCUGUUGAAUGCCAUGUGAAAAGUUUCUUGCCAGAAUUCUUUUAUUCAAUUGAAUAGUUAUUGUUAUAAUGCUCAAUUUAUUAAUGCCUAAAUUACUGUUGCCCUAGCCUCCUACAAAAAUGUUUCUUUUUAGUAAUUCUUAAACAAAUAAGGAAUGAAUGAGGUUUUGUCCCCUUUGUGUUUUGAUCAGCAUAUUUUCCCUUUCAGUGAAAGUGUCUUCAUUUUUUGGAAUGUCUGAACGCAAAAAAAGGUGUUUUGGUUUUGGGGGUUUUUCUCCCAACAGCACAUGUCUUUUGUGCAAUGAUUUUUUAAUAUGUACACUGCCAAGAUACAAUUACUGGAAGGAGAGAGAGAAGCUGUUGGGAAUGUCAUGUUAUGCCAAAUUAAGAAUUAUUAGCUCUUACUUUCUGUGCAGUCUCUUCGACUAGAACUCGACCUAUUGCGUCUGGCGUAUACUUUGACUCUAGUGGAACUAAUGUGUCCUUGGAGUAGCAUUUCAGAGUAACUUCAGAUUCAUGCUUUUUUCACAAGUCUGCUUUAAACUGCUGGGAUUAACUUCAGAGAAGGCGAGAGAUACAAGCUCCUUUGUCAGCAGCUGUGCUGGUUGAAGAAGGAGGCUUCAUGCACACUUGCUUGCUCAUUCUCUCCCUGCUAGGGAAGCAGACUGAACUGUUUCCCUGAGCACAUGCAGGCUGACUUCAGCCAAAGUGAAUCGUGUUAUCAGGUAUUAGUUAUCAGUGCCCUGGGUCACUCUGAUGAAAGGACAGGGCAUGCACAGACCAGCUGUGCAGACGUCAUGUCUGGGAAGGGUGCUGUGUUGACAAGAGUUGCUGAGGGCUGGCCCUGCUGUGUCGCCUUUUCAGCAGGUGCAGUUACAUCUCUCAGAUGUGGUAAAAAUUGGAUGUGUUAGAAAGCUAUGCAGAUCUGUCAUGCAUAAUAUUCACAUUCCAUGGGCAUCCUGGAUAAUGCAGAAUAAACCUGAGCUCUUUGACUUACUCCUUGUGUGUGCCAGUAUGAGGGGAGAGAACCAGUGUGUGUGUACAUGCCAGACACUUAUUUCAGGAAAAUGUAUCUGGUCAAGGUGUGGGAAUGGUACAAGGGUUUGCAUUAUCUAGAGAGCACACUUUUUACUUUACUCAUCAAAGAGACUGCCUCAGCCAGCACAUGCCUGAGGAGAGCUGCUUUUGACACAUCAGCUGCCUUGAGAAGAGGAGGGAGAACAGCUCCAGCAGGAGUGGCUGCUGUUCAGAAGAUGCUGGAGUCUGGUGAGGCAUCCAAGCUCUUGCUAUUGCUUGGGCCAAAAUUAGAAUAGUAUGGAUAAUCUUUAGUACUCAAAGACAGAGUGAGUAAAAGCAGUGCUCUGAACAGCACCUUCCACACUGACCCUUCUUGUGCAAAGGCUGUGGAGUUUAGGUGCCUUCCUAGAGCCAGCCUGGGCGUACAAAGAAGAGAAACCUGAGAGCAGCAGCACUGCUUGUAUCUCCUCUUGGGGCACUGCCAGCUGAAAAGAACACAGCCACAGAAAGGACUGAGUCUCCAGCUCAGGUUGUGUGUUGUCCCUUAUCUUUUAUUUGUCCUUAAGGUAAAAGAUGAGGAAUAUGCAGUGGCCAUACUGUACAUAUGGAAGGGAAGAAAAUAAAGUGCCAGGUGUGUGAGGAAGGGGCAGGUGUGGGUCCAGGUGUGAGAGCUGUGCCGUGUUCCAGCAGCCCAGAGCUGAGCCAUGGCUGAGCUCUCAGUGCUGGGUUCAGGAGUGAUGUCACAUGUCUCACCUGACCAUGAGCUAAGUGCAAAUAACCUCCACAGCUCUCCGAGACAGCCCAUAAUCCAUAUCACUCUUUUUAUCUUAAAAUGGAUUGUUGCAGUACCGAGAUUGAAAUGUUUAAUGAAAUGCUUGUGAUUGCUUAGGUAUCUAUUUAUCUGCCUAAGUGGAAAUACACAGGUAAACCAGUACUGCAAAAUAACGUCUUACAUUUAACACUGACAUGGAUAUAAAGCUGAUGAGUAAAAUUUUACAUCCAAGCACUUAAAACCAUCAAAUACUAUAGCUAAAUUGCCAUACUGCUUAUGUAGUGCUAAAAAGACAACAAAAUCAAACUUCAGGGAAGGCAGAUUUUCUUAUAAAUAUUCCAAAUAAUAGGUUGGUUUCAAGUAGACUUCCUGGCUCUUUGGUGAUUGCUGAAUUUGGUCUGAAUCUAUCAGGAACCCCAAUCAUAAUGGUGUGUUUAUUAUUAUAAACACAUGACUUCUAUUUAAGUUAUCCACAAAUAUGUUGGACAAAACAUAGUUUACCUUCUUAACUGGUACUAUAUGGUUACUUUCUAACUCCUUUAAUUUCAGUUCUAACUUGAUUGAAUUAAAGGUGCAUUCCUGACAAUAAUCUUUACAUCUGUAAUGGAACACUUGAUUUUGUAUGACUGUUUGCAUACUCCAGACAUAACACAACAUUUUUAUAGCAAUAUGUGUUGACAAUACACAGAGAUAAAAAUCAGUUUAUGACAAACUAAGGAGCAAACUUUCAAUAAGACCAAUGAAUCAGUAGAAAUUAUUAGAAAGGGAAUAUUAGAUUUUCUGUCUUUUGAAUGAGGAUGAAAUAUUUUUAUAGAGGUAUAUGCUUGAACAAGUGGCUGGGAGUGGUCAAGGAAUUCCUCACAGGCUUCUGUGGCUUUUGCAACACCUGAGGUCAGACUGGGUCAUCUUAGACAUCCUUCUGGCUUGGAAGGGAGUGAGAAGUCUCAGUGUAGCAAAUAUCCUCAUAGAAUAGCAGCUUCCACUGAAAAGUUACUCAAAGGUAAUUAAGCUUAUCUUCAAAAAAGGAUUGGGAGGGGCAUUGGGAAUGUUCCUGUCUCCUAGUGCCAUGCCUUUUUCAAAGAUCCUCUUUCACCUGACAGCUUGCUCCUGUGGGGUGUUUCAUUGGCUGAGGUGGGUUUCUCUGGUUCAUCCAUCCUUGUCCCACCUACAUUAAUAACAGCACAUGAACAUCUUUUUCAGGUCAAGUGUCUUCUACAGUGUCUACUUCUACAAAGUGUAAUGUUGCCUUUCUGCUAGAAAUAAUUAUUCAGUUGAAAAUAAUCUGACAACAUCCUGCUGUGGAUAAAUUAGGUUAGCUCUCUACUAAGAUUAGUUAGCUGGCAUCCAUUCACUAACAUAUUACAAGAAAAUGAUUGCAAGUUGAUUGUGUCCAGUUAUCUGCCUUUUUUUCUGUUUAAUAGGCUUUUUGUUGCCAUGCUGUCACCAAACGUGUGCAAGUCAUACUAUUCCCAGUGCCCUGCAGCCUGGGGAGAUGGUGUUUGCUGUCCCGUACCAUGGAAAGACUUUUGGGCAGAAGUGUUUGGAGAAGGGGAGAGGUUGUGACCUUGUAGAUUUCUGAAUCUUGUGCACCUUUGGUUUUGGCCCACAGGGAUGUGUUCUGCUCUAUGGCAAUCAAUACAUUACCACCAAAGUUGAAAUUCCAGGUAUAAUUAGCUCAUGUGUUUAAAUAGGUGUUGUUAUUUUUCAGCUUGUAUAUACAAGCCUGUUUUCAUGCAGAAGUCCAUAUUUUACUUGGGAAGAAUGCUGUGCAAAUCAGAAAAAGCAGAAAAAGUAUUUUAAGUUAUGUGCUAGUGUUUAAGAAUUUAGAAAUAACUGUGAGAUCUUGUAGGUACCCAGUUUGUGGUGACUGGGAUGGGGCUGGCCCAGCCUCAUCCCCAACGAGCUACAGCUGUGAGGAGCAGGUGAGCAGCAUUGUCACAAUGAGCCAUGGAGUGCCCAGGGGCACUGACCAACCACCAAAGGGAACACAGGGCACACAGGUGCAGUGCAUUAGCAGUGAGGGGCACACAGGUGCAGUGCAUUAGCAGUGAGGGGCACACAGGUGCAGUGCAUCAACACUGAGGGGCACACAGGUGCAGUGAAUUAACACUGAGGGUGUAAAAAGUUGGGCUAAAGAGCAAGAAGGACAAAAGUUUGCAGCCUGCUGAAGUGGCUUGGUAUUACUCUGUAUGGGCAGAUACCUGAAGCCUUCUGAUGUGGUAAAGUGUUACUGUGUUUGGGGGAGUGCUUAAAGCCUUAUGUAAUUGUAUGGUGAUGCUCUGUGCAUUGUGGCUGUCUCGACUGUGCCCUGUAUUGUGACAAGAUCUUUAUUUCUUUGUUUACAAUUGAUUAGGGCUAGAGUUUUAAAAGCUUAGUGCUGACUCAAAGUGCUUUGCAGUCAGUCACUAAGAAAUAUGGGCUUGGCCCAAUUCACGUUUAUAUCCUUCAGUAUAUCCAUUAUUGUUAGAUGCUGAGUGGUUAUUGUACAUAGAUGACUGGUUUUUUUAGGUAUUUUACAUUUUUAUGUGUUCAGAAAAAUACUUUGUUUAAGUAGCUGCUGGGUGAAUGGAGUAAUUAAAGAAUUGUACUGAUUUUAUUGAAGCUGACAUAUGCUGCACGUUCCUUAAAACUCAGUAUGUGAGCAGAAUGUUUCCAGGAUUUAUUGAAGGCAGGCAUCUAGAGAUAGUGGGGAGCUUUUAAUAGUUGUAAAGAUAACUUCCAAGUUUUAUGCUGUUAUAUAAACCUGUCUUUAAGAAGAGAGCUGUUAUUGCAAUACAUUGCUCAUGUUCUUUGUAUUUUGUCUGUGUGUAUGUUUUCUGUAUGUACUUGUACACCUACAAACAAAUGCUUGACCUGGACACUUUAAUUUGACAGUGAUUUUAUAUUCUAUUUACUAUUUAUUUUGGGGAAAAAAAGUGUUUUAAUGCUGACUGAGAAUCUCAUUUUCUUGGUAAGAAAAGUAAUUUUCAGUAUAUUGUGGGGAGUUUUAAUUAAUUUUUUUUUAAAACUGGAAUAUAUCCCUGCUUAGUUUGAGUUACAGUUCUUACUGUGAGAGUGUUGUGGUAGCAAGCAAGAAAUCUUACUCAGCAUAAACUGAGGCUGGGUUUCAUUUUGACUAGUUUGAUGAGUGCGAUGUUCCACGUGUGAUACUUUUGCAAGUUGUGAAAAAAUAGACUUGUUUAUCUAUCAUCUGUAUUUCAUAUGAUUUCAGAGUAGCAUGUUGUCAUUACUAUUGAAUUACUUGGCUAAAACUAGCAAACUUUUGCCUGUAUAUUUUGUAAUGUUUAGACCUUAAGCAUUUUUCAAGCAAUAUGUUUGACUUACUAUUGUUGCCCACUGUAAAAUAAAAUACAAUAUUAAAAUA